GAUGAUGAUGAUGAUGAUGAUGAUGAUAUGUGCCAGCUUCUGAGGCACGACCAAUAUCAGGCAGCCCUGGGAUGCUGCCAGGGACAAAAAGGCAGCCCUGACACCUGCUGAAGUUGCCCAUAGUAGGAAAGUUGGCACAUGGUCCUGAUGAACCUACUAAAAUAAAACUGCCUUGAAUCAAAUCAGAUCACUGUCCACUCACUGUGGCUCAUCAUGGUUUCAGGAGGAAGUCCUUUUCAGCUGUACCUGGAAAUGAUGGGAACUGUGCCCGGGACCAUCUGCAUUUAAAGAAUGUGCUCUGCCACUGAGCUAUGGCCAUCACCUCGUUGUUCUCUGUCACCUCCAAUAUUUUACGCCACACAAAAAGCACAAGGAACUGAAAAAAAAUCAUAAUGAGGUAGAUACAAAACAUUGGGAUGUGGGAAACCCCUGGCCCAAAAGUUGGCUUAACGCAACUGGCAUUCAGUGGAUGCAAAGCAGAUGGAGAGGCGAUUGCUGAAAAUGGACUGGAGCUUGGAAGAACCCUUGUUUUGGAAUAAAAUCCCCCCUCGUGGCCACGCUGGAUGGAGGAUUUUGGGAACUGUAACAAAAAAAGUCACAUUUCCAAGUGCCUGACAGAAGCUUCCCUUGGUGGAUUUCAACCUUUUUGUUUUGUUUUGUUUUGUUUUUGGCCUCAAGAGGAUAUUUCUGUAGUGACUUCUCUUCCAUGGAAGACAUCAGUCAACCACAGAAAUUCUGUGCAUUUCAGAAAAUCAUGAGAUAUAUUUUAGGGACCAGAGUGUGCAGAAUUGGACCUCAAACUGCUGCCCUGCUCAAAUUGAGGCUGAAAGUCUGUUGGUUACCCCCUCCCCGACUAGCAUACAUUUAUUGGCUCAAUAUCUGAAUGGUGAGUCCACAUGUUUGGAAAUCUAAUUGAUUUAGGCCUGGCCCAAUUGAUAGCCUGGGAAGUUUUCUCGAGGGUGACAAGUGUACAUCUGUACCAGAUUUUUGGUGAGCUGACUUGACUUGUUUUGAAAGAAACGUAACCUAUGAAUCACAUCAAAUGAAUCAAUCAAACAAGGAUAUUUCUAUCAUAGCAUUUUCAGAGUUGACAUCUACACUAUACAGACCAAGGGGGCAGAAUUGUGGAUUGUACUACUUUAGAUACCAAAUAGAUUUGGUUUAGACAGCAGACUGCAAGUGACAAUGCAAGUGGCAAAGUGGCAUUAAAAAUGUGACCCUCUCCAUGGUGCAUUCCAUAAUUCUACCACUGAAGCAUAUUAUUUUAUUAUGCAUAAUGUGUAGCAUGAACAUUGCAAGCAAUCUGUGGAAAUACAGCUCACCAGGUUUCUAUCAGGAACACCGGUUUGACCCAAGAUAGGGAAAAUUUUGCCAUAGGUUUAGACAAAGCCUUAGUGGGGGUGGUGAGAUGUUAGAUUUGUAAAAUCCUGAACUUUCCUGAAGGUGUCAGGGACUGCCUAUACAAAAAACAAAACAAAACCAACCAAGAAACAAAAUCAAGGAAAUUUAAAUACAAUAAGCAAACAAACUUUUGUGGAACUUAAAAAGGAGGAAAUGAGGAGAGGAAAAAGGAAUGUGGCAGAAUCUUUAAGACAAGCUGGAUUUUAUUUUCGCAUGUGCUUGAGUGAAAGAGGCUUAAAGGUGCUGCCAUGUUCUUUUUUCCCCUUCUCCUUUUUAUGCUGCAAGAUAUUAACAUGGCGACUUCUUUGAAAACGAUUACUUUUGUAGAACUUCUUUCCCAGUGGUUUUAUACUAAACAGUAAGUUUCAGUAAUAAAUGUUAGGAAUGAAUAUGAGCGCUAAGCAGGUCUCUGGGGGCAAAAUGCAAAAACAUAUUCUUUGAAUUCAAAUGUGGCUUCAACUUAUAUCCUGCGACUAGGAGUCCUUGUCCAGCACCCAAACCACUAUGCCACACUGGCUCUCCCUAUACACACAUACCUGAAAUUAAUUUCUGUUGAGUUCACCAGAAUUUACUUUUGAGUCGAUAUGUAUAAGUCUGUGCUAUAAGGAUACUGGGGAUUCCACCCAAGCCUUUAAAGCCUUGUUCAGAUGACUCCAUGAGUCAAAAAUAACAAGCAGACAACAGGAAAAUGAUGUAAUCGUGUAAAUGGAAAGCCAGUCUAAGAAUGUGCAUAGUGCUACAGGGAAGGAAGAAACAAAGAUACAAAGGAAGAAGCACCUGUUCCCUGAAGUUAUAGAAUAGUCUACAUGCAGUCGCUUAUUUUAUCUGAAACCUUUAGAUGUGACAGGAAUAAUAAACUGAUAGAUUUACUUGUCCAUUUAUUGUUUUAUUAAUAAUAGAUUGAUAAACAGGUGUGUUUUGAAAUAUUCAUGGACAUUAUUCUUAUAGGUUUGUCUGGACGCUUAAAUUGUUUGGGAAUGUUCUUGUUGGGCACUACAGAAAAAAUGAAUGAGUGAUUAAUUGCCAGCUGGGAUGUAAUUUGACAGAAUCGUAGAGGAAUAUGGUAUCAUGUACUUGAUGCCAAUUCAGAAGACCCAAUUUAUAUAUCAAUGUGUGGGCUAUGUAGUUUUUCAGCACAGCCGUGCAUUUUGUUGUGGUUGCGUCAGAGACUGCAACUACCCUCAAACUAGUUCUACAUCUCUUUGUUCUAUAAUUCAGGAAACAGUGGUGAUAUAGAGCAUUGAAUUGGGGGAAUACCAAAACAGCCACGAAGAGAUGCUCUCAGCAAUGCAUAAUGUAUACUAGCAGCUCAGCCUGCUUUCACGAAGUUCCCAGACGUAGCUUCAGGAAUUGAGGGUAGUAGUUGUGGUGUGCCUUCAAGUCAUUUCUGACUUACGGCGACCUUAUAAUGGGGUUUUCUUGGCA